CCUUUCGUCCGGCGGCCGGCUAGGAGCAGCAUCGGAGAGCUGGGAGCCGCGGACACCGACCGCGAUCCUGGGAAAGGCCAUGGAUAGAUCAGACAGUGAGGCUCCCUGUAGAGCUGUGGUUAUGUCAGUCUGCCUUGUGCUUGCCUCUAGGGCGUCCAGCUUUGUCCAGUAGGCAGCAGUGUCUGCUCAAGGCCGGGUGUAAAUAAAAACUAUCAAAAUCAGCGAAGCUAAAGUUGCUUUCCAAAAUUAAGUGAUUUGGGUGAUGUUGAAAUAGCGAUUCAGAAUUUCUAGAAAGCGUGUUCGGAAUGCAUUCCAGAUCUCCACCCGACUGCAAUUCCGAUUAUUCAAGGUUGAAACAGGGGAUAUAUUCUGUUGGAUGAGAGGUCUCAGUUCCAGCAAGGGAGACAUCUUACCAGGAGAAAUAAUAAUGGUGUCACUGAGCUGAAAAUUGGACUGCCACUGGGAUGCUCUAGGCUUCUCGUGCCUCUGAGUCAACAGGCAAGGAAGGAAGUCAAGGCUGUUGCUGUAGGGCUCGGGCUCGGUACUGAGUACCAAGGAGAAACUGGAUCUGAACGUACAACUGGUGGCAAGUCACCGUUUCCCACAGAGACUGACCCAGGCACGACUGCCAGCUGCUCAGAAACGGUGGCCAGACUCAGUGGUGGGACCAGAUGCCAGACAUCUGUCUUCUAUCAACUAGGAUCAAAAUAAAACCCUACUCAAGAGCCAACUUAAUGUAGCACGUGUAGCAGAAACAAAGAUGGCCCGGUUGCCUGUUCAGCAAAGCGUCUAUUACAGGAUCUCCCACCUUCUCAACAGCUGGAGGGAUCGAGCCCCUUCAAUGCGACCUUUCGCUCUCCUGUCCUUUUCUCUUAUGCUAGACUGCCUUAUUUUUCAACUACCUACCUCUUUAGACUCUCCUCUUCUUGACCUUAGAUUCUCUAUAAGACGCUCAGCACCUGUUUACCCCUUUACCCCAAAGUAACCCUUUUUUGAAGUUUCUCCAUUAGGUCUCUCCUGACUUGGGAAUUUCUAUGACUAUAUUUACAUAUAUUAAAUGUAUAUAUUUCCACCUAAA